rnacentral:rRNA from 1 species
UCUGGAUCGAGUUCACUCCAACCCCUGUGACAUACCUUAAUGUUGCCUCGGCGGAUCAGCCCGCGCCCGGUAAAACGGGACGGCCCGCCAGAGGAUCCAAACUCUUGCUGUUAUUGUAACUUCUGAGUAAAACAAACAAAUAAAUCAAAACUUUCAACAACGGAUCUCUUGGUUCUGGCAUCGAUGAAGAACGCAGCAAAAUGCGAUAAGUAAUGUGAAUUGCAGAAUUCAGUGAAUCAUCGAAUCUUUGAACGCACAUUGCGCCCGCCAGUAUUCUGGCGGGCAUGCCUGUUCGAGCGUCAUUUCAACCCUCAAGCCCCCGGGUUUGGUGUUGGGGAUCGGCAAGCCUUCUGGCGAGCCGCCCCCUAAAUCUAGUGGCGGUCUCACUGCAGCCUCCAUUGCGUAGUAGCUAACACCUCGCAACUGGAACGCGGUGCGGCCAUGCCGUUAAACCCCCAACUUCUGAAUGUUGACCUCGGAUCAGGUAGGAAUACCCGCUGAACUUAAGCAUAUCAUAG